rnacentral:rRNA from 1 species
AUGAGAUUUCCGAUAUUGAGAGUGGCUUCACAUUACUCGGUGACCAAACAAAUUGACAUAUCAGUUGCUAGUUGUGUGCUGCACAAUUUCAUACGUUUGCAUGAUGGAGAUUUUUCAUGGCCUGAGAAUACUACUGUGGAGAUUGAUCAAGAACAAUUUGUUGAUGUGCCAAGUGGAGACCACAACUAUCACAAUGAUAUACAUGCUUUUAAUUACUCUAGAGAAGCUGGGAAUCAAAAACGAGAUUAUAUAGCACAGCAAAUGUGGGCACAAUAUGUAUCACGAAGAUCUCAGAAUAUGUAA